UCCAUGUAAAAUCACAUUUUAUUAUGUAAAAAAUAAAACGAAUCAACUUACAGUAGACUUGAAAAAUAUAUAUAUUUCCAAUCAUUCAGAUUUGUACUCAGAUUUCUGUUAAGGUUGUAUUUGUCUGUGAAUCUUGGAGUAUCACUGUAUAACAGUACAAGUAUAGGCUGACUAUAAGGCACAGUAACAAAAAUAACUAAAAUGGUUAAAUCCCUGUAAAACAACACAUUUAUUUAAGUAUUAACAGUUCAAAACUUAUUUUAAUCAGCACCAUAAAAUACUUGUAGUGGCAAUUUAUGUACCAAACAUAUGUGCAACUACAAUAACGUACAGUACAGGAAUAUUUAAGCAUAUUUGCACUAUAUCAGUAACAUAGCAGUUGAAGCAGGUUGUAACAAUUACGCAUAAAAAAGCAGCUACUUUUCGGUAUUAAAUAACCCCCCCCCAAAAAAAAAAAAAAACUGCAACAACAACAACAACAGCAGAAACAUACAAUACAGAGAACGUGAAACAAAGUUGGAUUCCACAGUAGUGAAUUAUGUCGUAAAUUAGCACCACUCAAACCCCAUAGGCUGUCUGUAGAGCCAGGACUGAGGCCUCUAUUCAACACACACACACACCGAAAGGGGUCAGAACUUUGAAAUGUGAUGCCACAGUUGAGGUCAAGCCUCCUUUUUAACAAGUGUUAUCCCCACUGCACCUGUAUGGUAUAUUCACAGUCUCCCUAGCAACAACCACAGGGUCUCCAUAGCCACAACCACCAGGUCUCCAUAGCCACAACCACAGGGUCUCCAUAGCCACAACCACAGGGUCUAGGCAUAAGUUAGAAUGGUCUCAAAACAAGAUGCAUCGGCUCCUCUAUCCGUAACCAGUAUCAUAAAGUAGCAGGCCGGGACAUAGAGUUUUAUAGAGGGCCCACAUGCCACAAAGCCUAUUUUAGCAUGGACAGCACCAUUGAGGAGUUGCACCUUUUUUAAGUAGUCCACUUGGUGGGACUUUUUCAGUCACAGAAGCCAUUAUGGCAACAAUGCAAAUAUGUGUCAUCUGUCUAACUCUAUGGGCCGGUCUCAGCUGUUUAAAGAGAUUCUCCGGUACUUUUGUACACUUUUAGCCAGUAGUUCUGAAAGUAACACUCAUGAGCCAAAAGUAGCCAAAAGUAGUAAUUGCGUACCAUGUCACAUACAGUAUGUGCAGAUAUGUGCACCACGUCAUUGCUCUCUCUCUCUCUCUCUCUCUCUCUCUCUCUCUCUCUCGCGCUCUUUCACUGCUAUGUCCACUGAGCCGUUGGGCCCGCCAUUCAACCUAAUUGAAUAACUAGGCAGGCCUCUUGCUAGCUGUCACUCAAAUGCAAGGGGCUGAAGCUUAUUGUCUAGAACUCAAAUUGCUAGGAGGCUGGCCCACGAGGGGGGAAAUGUCGUGAAAAUGGCUUGGCACAGCUUCAAGAAAACAGUCACUUUCAAACUACGAAUUUCUGGCUAAUUGAGGCAAGACAGUAAUUCUGUUCAUAGAUUAUGCAUGUAUGAUCUACACAUUGACACAUCCAGCCCAAAGCGUGAGGUUUAAAAAAUACUUUAUUUUCGCCAAAGUACCGGAGCAUGUCUUUAACUGUGUUGUUUUCUUUGCAAGGCUGUCUUCAAUGUGUGAACAGUGUGACCUUUUAAAUGAAGACCUCACCACUGACGGCUCGUACCACAGAGACAUGCAUCGAUUACUGCACUGUGUGUGUGGGUAUGACACACACACACGGAACAGCCAGGGUGGUCGUCCGUCCUACAUGUUCUGAACACGUAGGUAAACAGUACCACGUUAGAAUGUUUGAUUGAUCAAUGGUUCCCUGCUCUGGAGGGUUGGGAACAUGGGACUCAGGAGUUCUGAGAGCUGGGCCGUUAGUUUUCUCUGUUCUAACCAGGACCCAUAUCAGCUUUUAUUCCAAUACUGGGGCCAGGCCUGGGGGCCAG